UACGUAGGGUCCGAGCGUUGUCCGGAAUUAUUGGGCGUAAAGGGCUCGUAGGCGGUUUGUCGCGUCGGGAGUGAAAACCAGGUGCUUAACACCUGGCUUGCUUUCGAUACGGGCAGACUAGAGGUAUUCAGGGGAGAACGGAAUUCCUGGAUGUAGCGGUGAAAUGACGCAGAUAUCAGGAGGAACACCAACAGCGAAGGCAGAUCUCUGGGACGUAACUGACGCUGAGACGCGAAAGCGUGGGGAGCAAACAGG
rnacentral:rRNA from 1 species